rnacentral:rRNA from 1 species
AACGAACGCUGGCGGCAGGCCUAACACAUGCAAGUCGAACGAUGUAGCAAUACAUAGUGGCGCACGGGUGAGUAAUGCAUGGGAACGUACCUUUUAGUGGGGGAUAACUCCGGGAAACUGGAGCUAAUACCGCAUACGCCCUUCGGGGGAAAGAUUUAUCGCUAAAAGAUCGGCCCAUGUGAGAUUAGGUAGUUGGUGGGGUAAUGGCCUACCAAGCCUACGAUCUCUAGCUGGUCUCAGAGGAUGAUCAGCCACACUGGAACUGAGACACGGUCCAGACUCCUACGGGAGGCAGCAGUGGGGAAUAUUGGACAAUGGGCGCAAGCCUGAUCCAGCCAUGCCGCGUGAGUGAUGAAGGCUCUAGGGUUGUAAAGCUCUUUCGCCGAUGAAGAUAAUGACGGUAGUCGGAGAAGAAGCCCCGGCUAACUUCGUGCCAGCAGCCGCGGUAA